AUUGUUUAAUUUUAUUAUUGUUUUAUUUCAUUAUUGUUUUAUUUCAUUAUUGUUUUAGUUUCAGUUUUACAGACACCUUACAAAAAUAGUUUUUUUUUUUUUUUGUUACAUUGAACAACUAUAACUUAAUCAAACAGACAAACUCUAGUAAUUUUCUAAUAAUUCAAUACCAAUGUGAUAGACAUCUUAUAUAUAACACAGAAGAUAACAAGACAAUGUGAUAAAAAUUAUAAAGUGGUCACAUAAACAAUCUACGAUGAGUUAAUUAUAAUAAACAUCUUACCCAAUAUACUAUUGGAUAUAGACAGAUGUAGGCUUUAACUUAUAGGACCAACCAGCAGAGAUGUCUGCAAGCCAGACAUGAGAACUACAGGUAUCAGUGAAAGUAUGUAGGAGGAAAUAGGUCAAGAUCUUACAGCAUUGAGACAGAUUGCGUGCAGAAACGAUCUACGCCGACAUGUAUAAUAUUAUAUAUACAAUUUGUAGACAGUGCCAAAUUUACAAAAGAGGUAUGGUUUCAUCCCUUAGCUUAGCAGGGGAUCUCAAACUGAUACUUUUGCACUUAAAUGGCUUCUUCGAUGCUAAAUCAUUGAUUUAACAAAAUUGUACGUGUCCUUGACAUCUCUUGAAUCAGAGCAGAUCUUUACUAAAUGUCUACCUGUAAUUACAAAGUUUAUAUCAACCCAUCCUGUCUGUCUAUCUGUCUGUCUAUGUUUUUCUCCCACUUCCCAAUUUCGGAUCAAGUUGAAACUUUUUACUAUUAUUCAUGUUCAAUUACAAAACAUGAAUCAAUAAAAAUUAAGCAAUUAAUUAAUUUAUGAUGAUGAAUUAAUUUUAUACAGGUAGGUGUGUUAAUAAUCAAGUAUGGUGAAAAAUAUCUGUGUAUGUGUAAUUAUUUUACUUACAGAAGCUUAGUUUAGUUACAAUUUUUUAAAAAUAUUUUACUUUUUAUUAUCAUAAACAUAAACACACAUAGCACAUACCACGUGUGUAAAUGAAUAGUUUAAUUUUGAUUAUUCACUAGUUGCUCGUUGAUUGUAAACUCUUUUGUUUUUAUUUUCAUUAAUUUGAUUUAAAAAAGGGUUUGUAAUUCAUUCGCGAAACACUUAACACAACAUAACAUUUGUUAUUUCCCCUUUCAAUUUAUACAGCAUUUUAGAACAAUGAUAAAAAGUACUAAGUAUACAUCCAGUUAUAAAACAUAUAUUACAGUAACUAGUACAAGUAUAUAUAUAGUAACAGUACAGCAAGUAGAGAGUAUUGCUGAAAAAGAACAAAAAGUCCCCACUCCCCUUUCCAAAAAAAAAAAAAAAAGACAGAGAACCAAAAAAAAAAAAAA